GUAUGGACCGAGCGUUGUCCGGAAUCAUUGGGCGUAAAGGGUACGUAGGCGGGCCUAGUAAGUUAGAAGUUAAAGAAUAUAGCUCAACUAUAUAAAGCUUUUAAAACUGCUAGGCUUGAGAGAUGGAAGGGAAAGUGGAAUUCCUAGUGUAGCGGUGAAAUGCGCAGAUAUUAGGAAGAAUACCGGUGGCGAAGGCGACUUUCUGGUCAUCAUCUGACGCUGAGGUACGAAAGCGUGGGUAGCAAACAGGAUUAGAUACCCUGGUAGUCCACGCUGUAAACGAUGAGUGUUAGGUUCUUGGAAUAAUCUGGGAGCCGCAGCUAACGCAUUAAACACUCCGCCUGGGGAGUACGCACGCAAGUGUG
rnacentral:rRNA from 1 species